AGUGCACGACCGAGUCUCCGUUCUCCUCCUCGGAGCCCGAUGCUGGGGGACGCAGGGGGGACGGUGUAGUCCGAGUCGCGUCGCUGUCGCCCUCAUCCGGCUCAGCCGGGUGCAGGUGCGUGGCGAGCUCCUGUAGCACCGCCGCGCGUCCGAUCUGGUCGUUGCGCCGCUUCUCCAUGAUCAAGUCCUCCAGGCUCUGGAACUCGAGAGUGUGGCUGCGCUGAGCCGAGAGCUGAAUCUGCAAACGGUAGGGCUGCUUGCCGAUGCGCAGCUCGCCACCGAUCUUGAACUCGCGUUUGCCAUAGCGGCACCAGGCCGCAAAGCUCUCGGAGUUGCGCCAGCUGAGCUCGCGCUCCUUGGCGCCCACGUGGGCCAGCGCGUUGCGCACUACAGCGCUAGGGCUCAGUGGCUUGUAGCGAUACAGAUCGUUGACCACGCGGCCGCGCCGGCCCUGGCUCGCAUCGGUCAGGAAGCUGUUGCUCACCUCCAGCCGGUGCAAAUGCACCACCUGGAAAUUGCCCACGUAGACAGCCCAGUGCGGGUAUUGAGCCUGCGAUACAAACUCCACCAGGUCACCCGGACUGCACUUGUUGAGCAAGUUCUCCGGUGUGUAGGUGCUCAGAGCCGCCGAUCCUGGCGCGAAGCUUUUCUGAUAGAUGCACUCAUCACGAUAAAACACCGAGCAUUCCACCUCGUGCUGCCGCGGGUCGUAGGGCUGCGGCGGGGGCAGGGGAGGCCGAUCCCCGGAGUCGGACAAAGCUCCGCCAUCAAGCCCCUGGGGCGGUGGCUGAGGUUCCACAUCCUCGUCGUCAUUGGAGAAAAUAUAAGAGACUCCGAUGCGGGGCCCAUCGUCUCGAUCCACGCCGGUCGGGUCGGCCGUGGGAACUUCCUUAUAACUUAGGUGGGUCAGUUUUUCCACCUGGUUGCCCAUUACGCUGUGGACUCUCGUUCACAAGACUUCAAGAGGAGAAAGCGAAACCACCGUCAGAGUCAUUGGCACUGGUGCCCGGGCAGGGGCUAAAGCCACCUGUUGGAAGAGAAGACGAGGGAGAUGUUUGUAGGUGCCACUCCAGAAAAAGACGUUUGUUUCUUGAAAAAGAACCGGUAGGGGCCCGAGCACCUGGAGCCAUUUUAGGAGAAGUCUGGGGGACGUGCUUCCUCGCGUUUCUACACCACUAAGGUCACGAUCACUGGAGACAUGGCCACUCCAGCUUUCCCCUUCCUCCAGCUAUCACCUGGACCCAGCCAAAGCCAUUGCAUCAGCAGCUCCGACAGCUUCCGCCCGCGCCCUACCUGCCAACCCUGGGCAGGAGUGGGGGAGGGAAGGAAAUAGAAACUUUAUUCCAAUUUCCUUCUCUUUCCUAACUUCCCCUCCCACUCCGGAUCCUAACUAGCCCUUUGACGUCCUUCAAUGUCUGCACCCCCAAGAACCUGCUAGGCUACCUUGGCGUGGAGGUGGCAGGUGAGCCUCCGGACUAGACUCACCUGCCGCAAGUCACUGCGGCUCGUCGGCCCCUCCCCCGCGCGCCUGCCCUGGGGUUCAGAUUACCUGCGCGGACUCUCUCCCCGAGAGGUAGAAGCCCUAGGGGACCGGGAGGGGCACCCUGCCGCACCCGAGACUUCUAGGGCGAGUUCGCAGGUGUGGGCUCCGCAGUGCCUCCUCUCCCAGCGCAGACCAAGGCGAAGCUGGGCUUCGGGGAAGGACGCAUUUCUCCCUCGCCGCCCCCCGCGGUUGUGUAGAGCCCCAAGACUUGAAGAUGGGGGGCAAUGCCUGUUCACGAUCGUUGCUGCACGACCCCUCACGCAGAUUUCCAGGAAGAGGACAGAACCUGGGCUGUUGUACAUGAUAGUUACUGUGGCCUUCACGACUUGACUGGAGGAGACAUGAGAUAAAUAAGCAGAAGAACAAAUAAAAGUGCCUGAGAUCAGGACUGUGAGGAACGUAAGACAACACCCCGAGAUUGAGUAGCUGUCCUGAAGGAGAGAGUGGCAGGGACAUCACUGGCCUACUUUACAUGAGAUGGCCAAGGAAGACCCCUCAAGAGCUGGAAUUUGGGCUGAGACAUAAAGAAAAGAAGGGCUGGCAUUGCUAUCCACUCCAGAAGGAAGAUGGGAACAGAAGAAGGAUGGAGCUGAGAGCGUUUAGAGAGUAGGAGAAAAGGAGAUUGAGAUGAGAGUACAGAAUGGGCAGGGCCGGGAGACAAGAAACCUCCUGAGCCAAAAAUAGAGUCAGUGAAGACACUGUACCAGUGGUGACUAUUGUACUUGCAAUUUUUUUUUUUAGAGAAUUUUGUUUAUUAAUCAUUCAACCACAGUAACCCAAAUUUCAUAUUCUCUGCACCUGCUCUAAGAAGAAAGAAAAUAAAAACAAGCUGUGUUCAAUGUUGGUGAGUUCCUGUCUAAGCCCCUGAGGCUGAACUGAGAUUUGACCUUUCUACCCCACGAGGCCUGAACUCUGACGUUGCAAGUGGGGUGAGAUAUUGGGUUGAAAAUUGUCUCUCCUGGAAUGUAUACAACAGGGGAUCAAAGAACUCUGUGGUUAAGCAAUCUAGACUUCUGUCUAUCCCCAGGCUGGGCCUCAUGCUCACCAACAUAAUAGCAUUUUCUCAAAUGCAGCUACCUCCAUAGCACCCUACAUCCCCAAACCCCUAGGCUGAUCGGUACCCAUUCUCCCUGAGGGUUUCUGGCCCUCUUGUAAAGUGAACAGUGGUAGAGUGGAGUGAUAACUUGAUGUUCCUUGUGUUUGCCAAUCAUGUGAUGCUAGAGUUGUCUCUUCUCCAUGCUGGGCCUGGUGUCUCAGCCUUUCAGGUAAUGCUGAUGCUCUCUGUCACGACAGAGAUGUUCAAGGAAAAUCUAUGUGCAGGAGCAUCCUGUAAAUCCUAAAGGCCAUGUGCACGCUGGGCAUGAUUCACAGCCCAUGAUGACUUUGUGUAAGGAGUAGGAGAGCCUCCUGCUGUGGGCCUCUUUGUAACAAAUCUCCGCACACUCCUGAUGUUUGUGUGUCCCCAGCCAGCGUGUUAAGUCCAAAGGACGUAUGAGUCCUACUCAUUAUCAAGGAAGAGGCUAGGCCCUGCUGCCUCCAAGUCUGGUUUUCACAAUGAAUCAAACAGAGUCGAAGGAGGGGUAGAGUACUCCCAUCCUGUGUGUGUUUGCUUGGCCUGUAACCAGCAAAUCUCAGUGACCAGCUAAUUUUGCUUUGCUAGGAACUUGAAUGGUUUUAGUCCUGAACACUUCUGGCCAAAGCUAAUGGCAAUAGUGGUCAUCCGACCUGGGUGCCUCCCUGUCUUGGUCAUUGCCCUCCACCCUGAACAAAGAGCUGUCAUGAGAACUGGGUUAGGUAUGUUACAAUGAUGGAAAAGAGUGGGUACAGAAAGCAGGGAAAAUUGAGUUUUCAGAGAUGCUGCUUUUAACAGAGACUAGGGCAGACGGUCAUCCAAUCAAAGAGACUAUUAGAUGAACACUUAUUCUGUCUUUUGUUCAUUUGUUAUAAGUUUCAUUCCCUGGGAUAGGUGAUACCCACUGUACCCAUGUCACCUUUGAGAGCUAUUCACCUGUAGCUCUGUUCCCAGCCUGCCAGACUUUGGCUACGAAAUCAAUGUAGGAGUGUUACACACUGACACAGUUCCAGAUUAAGGAGAGAGGUACCAGAGGCUGCCUAAUCAUGAGAUAUUUUUUUUCUUUCUUUCUGUUUCAUUUUUUCUUAGAUAACUAGGCCAGACUCUUUCCAACAGGAAGGGCAUGAGUUACUCUGCAGAUGGACAGAGACAAGACAGGGGGGCCCCUUAGCAGAAGCUAGAGCUGCACCUGCACCCUGGGACCUCAAGCCAUCCCACCUACUGCUCACACAUUUCUCUUGCUAUCAGGCUGUCUCGGAGAGAGAAGAGAUGGAGCCGGUCCUCCAUCAGGCCCACUGCUUCAGGGGGCCCUGUGAUCAUAUUGUUGAUGUUGCCGGAAAUGUGAUUUGUGCUCAGGAGUCUGAGAUUGUAGCUGGGCUCCCUCAGGAGCCUCAUGAAAAAUGCAUUUCACCAGGCGGUUCCAGGGGAGAGACUGGCUUAAAUUACAGCUCUAGGAAUCCAAAUAUUGGCAUAUCUGCAAAUCCAAAUGUGAGGGGGGGGGGGGACCUAAAUUCCAAGAAUCUCAUUCUGCACUUUUUGUGUGCAAAAGGGGUGAUGGGAUUCAGAAAGGGGAGAUUCAGAGGCUUCAGAAGAGAACACCCCAACUCUUCCACCCUUUUCUCUCCCCAUGCAUCCUGCAUGCCUUCAAAGAAACAGGCUGUGACACAGAGGAGAAGGUAGCAUUUGUUCAGUGUGACAGUUUUUAGUACAGGUGGGGCACAGGAGGGCUCAGCCAUCUCUGUCUGCCCCUCCCUGUACAGUUUUCUGGAUCUAGGAUGAAGGUUUCUUAUGGAUCAGUAACGGCACUACAGUCAUUCACAACCCAGCAGGGUGAGGGAUCCUGCGCCACUGUGAGAGAAGCCAAGUUAUUUCUCUGCUCAAAAUCCUCAUCUGCCUUAGAGAGGGGUGGGGUGUUCCUACUGUAGGCUCCAAGGUCAUUUCACUAGUUUUCUCCUCAUCACAAGACAAGAUGGCCCUUCAUUAUUCCCUUCCCCCAUGGCAAGUGCACAUCUCCCUCAGAAUCUAAACUUUUCUCAUUCCUUCUGCAUGGAGUACUUACUUGUCCCUGCAAAGCUCAUCAGACUCUGUUCAGUCUUCACUAAGAUACCAGCUUCCAGAUACAUAUUCCCUGACAACAUUAUUUUAAAAUCCCUAGACUUCUCAUACAUGCUCUUGCGUACAGCAGUGACUUAGAUGUGGACCCAAGGGGGUCUGUGGCUUGGUAUUGAAGAGAUGGUAUCUUUAAAUAGUGAAACUUCCUGGAAGAUGGUUAGAUCAUUGGUGACACUUCCAGUGGAAGGAAUUGUGAUAAUUCUAGAUUCCUGAUUUGUUCCCAAGAGAGUGAGUUGUUAUAAGAGCAAGCCUGAUUGGCUUCCUGUCUGAUCAUGUGACCUCUCCCCUGCACGUGCUACAGCUAUAGUGGUGGCAUCCAUCACAAGGCAUGAGUCAAGCAGAAGCUGGGACCAUGGUCUUUAUCCUGUAAAAUGGAGUAAAUAAACCUUUUUCUUUGGAAGUA
rnacentral:lncRNA from 1 species